rnacentral:rRNA from 1 species
UACGAAGGGGGCUAGCGUUGUUCGGAAUCACUGGGCGUAAAGGGCGCGUAGGCGGCUUUGUCAGUCGGGGGUGAAAGCCUGUGGCUCAACCACAGAAUUGCCUUCGAUACUGCAAGGCUUGAGACCGGAAGAGGUCAGUGGAACUGCGAGUGUAGAGGUGAAAUUCGUAGAUAUUCGCAAGAACACCAGUGGCGAAGGCGGCUGACUGGUCCGGAUCUGACGCUGAGGCGCGAAAGCGUGGGGAGCAAACAGG